UACGUAGGUGGCGAGCGUUGUCCGGAAUUACUGGGUGUAAAGGGCGUGUAGGCGGGGAGACAAGUCAGAUGUGAAAUACCGAGGCUUAACUUCGGGGGUGCAUCUGAAACUGUUUUUCUUGAGUGUCGGAGAGGAAAGUGGAAUUCCUAGUGUAGCGGUGAAAUGCGUAGAUAUUAGGAGGAACACCAGUGGCGAAGGCGACUUUCUGGACGAUAACUGACGCUGAGGCGCGAAAGCGUGGGGAGCAAACAGGAUUAGAUACCCUGGUAGUCCACGCCGUAAACGAUGGAUACUAGGUGUAGGAGGUAUCGACCCCUUCUGUGCCGCAGUUAACACAAUAAGUAUCCCACCUGGGGAGUACGGCCGCAAGGUUGAA
rnacentral:rRNA from 1 species